AUGUCAGUGUCUUCAUCUGUGCUCUGCUGUUUCUCAAUGGCGAUAUGUUCCCGAGUCUCUCUGCAGAGUGACUUCAUAAGGCUCAUUGGGAACAUGUUGUACAGAAGCCACCAACCAUCAGGAGGGAGGCUGACUGCAGCUUGGCUCUGGGGUACUCUUUUUCUCCUUCAUUCGACCAUCUCUCCUGUGGAGUGGGUGUUAUGGUGGAUGGUGUUGGCAUUCAGCUGUCAGAGGUACGAAUGCUCUGCUGGGCUGCUCUACAGGAGGUGACAGUCUGUGCUAGUCAAACUGUGCAGGCCGGGCUUCAGACGCAUGCAGACACUCAAGUCCUUCAGCCAACACACUCCACUCCUCCUCACGCCUUUCUCACAUAUCCUUCCAUUCAGCACCAUUGCCAUGAACCGUGAACAAGCUUCAUUCGGAAAAAGCAAUGCAAUAUUCAUGAUAAUUAAAAUUAAAGAUAAUAUCUCCUAUUUUUUCUUAGUUUCCAUCCUCGAGGUAUCAGAUUGCAAGUUAUUUCCUCUCGUUUCCUAAGAUACCGAACAAGAUAUUCUAGACUUUUUUGUAGCCUAUCAUGCUGAAUUAGAGAUGCGAUCUUGGGUGGUGUAAAAACAUACAAGCGAUAAAUCUGAUUAGGUAUCUGUUCUGAAAAGGUUUAUGUUUUGACUAAUUUUCUCAGUCGACCGAAAUCUUAUCAGUCUAGAAAUUGUCAAUGCAGUGUAGCUUGGGGCUAAAUGUGGAUAUAACAAUGUCACAUUAUGGUUUCGUCGGCAUGUUUCUUGAUAUUUAUUGGCAUCUUUUAUUGUAAGGAGGUCUUCGAUGUGAAGACGCAUUUUGGGGUAUUCUAGGACAUUUAAAUGGCUAGUGUUAAUUCAUGCUGGC
ensembl:lncRNA